UUUAAUCAAACUUACUAAAACACACACAUAUCAGUAAGGCUAAAUCGGGGUGCCAAACGGUCGAUUGGCUGGAUAUGUGGAGGCUAAAC
rnacentral:sRNA from 20 species